ACUCAAAUGAAUUGACGGGGACUCGCACAAGCAGUGGAGCAUGUGGUUUAAUCCGAUACAACGCGUAGAACCUUACCAAGGCUUGACAUGUUUGGCAAAACUAGGGAAACCUAGCGGAGGUUAUCCAAACACAGGUGCUGCAUGGCCGUCGUCAGUUCGUGCCGUGAGGUGUAUGGUUAAGUCCUAUAACGAACGCAACCCUUGGACUUAGUUGCCAGCAUUCAGUUGGGGACUCUAGGUCGACUGCCUGAGUAAUCAGGAGGAAGGGAAGGAUGAUGUCUGGUCGUCAUGGCCCUUAUGCCUUGGGCGACACACGUGCUACAAUGGUUAACACAAAGGGAUUUCAAUGCCAACCCGCGAGGGGGAGCUAAGCCCAAAAAAUUAACCUCAGUUCGGAUUGGAGGCUGCAACUCGCCUCCAUGAAGUUGGAAUUGCUAGUAAUCGCAAAUCAGCCAUGUUGCGGUGAAUACGUUCUCGAGUCUUGUACACACCGCCCGU
rnacentral:rRNA from 1 species